rnacentral:rRNA from 1 species
AUUGAACGCUGGCGGCAUGCCUUACACAUGCAAGUCGAACGGUAACGGGCCUUCGGGUGCCGACGAGUGGCGAACGGGUGAGUAAUGUAUCGGAACGUACCUUUCAGUGGGGGAUAACGUAGCGAAAGUUACGCUAAUACCGCAUAUUCUGUGAGCAGGAAAGCAGGGGAUCGCAAGACCUUGCGCUGAUUGAGCGGCCGAUGUCAGAUUAGCUAGUUGGUGAGGUAAAGGCUCACCAAGGCGACGAUCUGUAGCGGGUCUGAGAGGAUGAUCCGCCACACUGGAACUGGGACACGGUCCAGACGCCUACGGGAGGCAGCAGUGGGGAAUUUUGGACAAUGGGGGCAACCCUGAUCCAGCCAUGCCGCGUGAGUGAAGAAGGCCUUCGGGUUGUAAAGCUCUUUCGGCCGGGAAGAAAUCGCACGGGCUAAUACCCUGUGUGGAUGACGGUACCGGAAUAAGAAGCACCGGCUAACUACGUGCCAGCCGCCGCGGUAACAC